rnacentral:rRNA from 1 species
GACGAACGCUGGCGGCGUGCUUAACACAUGCAAGUCGAACGGAAAGGCCCUGCUUUUGUGGGGUGCUCGAGUGGCGAACGGGUGAGUAACACGUGAGUAACCUGCCCUUGACUUUGGGAUAACUUCAGGAAACUGGGGCUAAUACCGGAUAGGAGCUCCUGCUGCAUGGUGGGGGUUGGAAAGUUUCGGCGGGUGGGGAUGGACUCGCGGCUUAUCAGCUUGUUGGUGGGGUAGUGGCUUACCAAGGCUUUGACGGGUAGCCGGCCUGAGAGGGUGACCGGCCACAUUGGGACUGAGGUACGGCCCAGACUCCUACGGGAGGCAGCAGUGGGGAAUAUUGCACAAUGGGCGGAAGCCUGAUGCAGCAACGCCGCGUGCGGGAUGACGGCCUUCGGGUUGUAAACCGCUUUCGCCUGUGACGAAGCGUGAGUGACGGUAAUGGGUAAAGAAGCACCGGCUAACUACGUG